GACGAACGCUGGCGGCGUGCCUAACACAUGCAAGUCGAGCGGAGUCGAUCGACGGAAGCCUUCGGGCGGAAGAUGGUUGACUUAGCGGCGGAUGGGUGAGUAACGCGUGGGCAACCUGCCUCGAAGACCGGGAUAACAGCCCGAAAGGGCUGCUAAUACCGGAUGUGGUCAAGGAUCCGCAUGGAUUUUUGAUUAAAGGGGAAACCCGUUUCGAGAUGGGCCCGCGUCCUGUCAGCUAGUUGGUGAGGUAAAAGCUCACCAAGGCGACGACGGGUAGCCGGCCUGAGAGGGUGACCGGCCACACUGGAACUGAGACACGGUCCAGACUCCUACGGGGGCAGCAGUGGGGAAUCUUCCACAAUGGGCGAAAGCCUGAUGGAGCGACGCCGCGUGAGCGAAGAAGGCCUCGGUUGUAAGACUCUGUCUGGAGGGACGGAAGGAAGGUAGACGGUACCGUCCCGGACGGGAACGGACCGACGGCCGUAACUAACGUCGCCACGCAGCCGCCGGUAAAAGUAAGACGUACGU
rnacentral:rRNA from 1 species